AUGCAGGCUGAAAUGCUCAAGAUCACUGUUGGACAACUCCUCGAUAUCGAGCCCAUGUCUCCACUUAGAGAGGAGGAAAUAAAACGGAAAUAUGUCCGGGGCCAACCUUUGGUCGAGCCCGAGGAGGUCAAGAACCUCCCAACGAGAAUGUAUGAAUUACAUGAUUGGUACAUGAAAAUUACCAAGAUUUCCAAUCGAGAGUCCCUCAUGGUGCAAGUCGAGGAAGAUCAUUACUUCAAUAAGAAAGCUCUGUCCGUUGAGUAUUCAGAACUAUUUCAGUUAUUCAAUCAAGAUGUACUCGACAAAUAUAUCGUCAGUUGCUAUUGUCUGUAA
rnacentral:rRNA from 1 species